ensembl:lncRNA
UGGACAUGCAUGGACUUUCCUUGCCUUGACUGGCCUUGCCUUGCCCUGCCGUGACUAGCCUGGAAAUGCCUUGCCUUGCUCUCCCUGGCCUUAUGUUGCAUGGCCUUGCCUGGCCUGGCUUUGAAUUGGCUUAUUUGCGUUUCCUUGGCUUGCCUGGUUUUGCCUGGCCUUGCCAAGCCGCGCUUUGCCCGGCCUGGCCUGGACUUGACUUGUCUGGCCUGGCUUUGCUUUGUCUUGGCUGGCCUUGCCUUGACUGGCCUUGCAUUGCCUUGCUUUGCCUUUUCCUGCAUGGCCUGGUCUUGCCUUGCGUUGCUUGGCCUUGCCUGGGCCUGUCUGGCCUGGCCUGGCCUGGCCUUGCAUUGCAUUUCUUUGCCUGAUCUUGCCCUGCCUGGCAUGGGCAUGCAUUGCCUUGCCUUGCCUUGCCUUGCCUUGCUUUGGUGUACUUCCACUGGCCUUAUUUGGCCUGGACUGGUUUUGACAAUUGUUGGUUUACCUGGCCUCUCUUGUCCUGGCCUGUUCUGGCGUUAUCUUUCGUGGUAUGUCUGGUCUUGCUUUACCUUUCCUUCUUGCCUUGCCUUGCCUAGUCUUGCCGUUGCGUGCCUGCCCUUUCCUGGCCUUGUGUUGCAUUGCCUUUCCUUCCCUGGCCUUGCCUUGCAUGAUCUGGACUUGACUGGACUUGAGUGGCCUUUCCAGGAUUGGCGUGGCCUUGCCUUAUGAGGGCCUGUAGUGUUUUGCCUUUUUUUGCAUUUCCCUGCCUGGCCUGGAAUUGCCUGGACUUGGCUUGAUUUGAGUGUCCUUGAUUUGUUUUGCGUUGUUUUUCCUGGCCUGGCCUGGACUUGCUAUGCCUGUCCGAUCCUUAUGUUGCAUUGUUAUGCCUUGCAUGACUUUGCGUUGACUUUCCUUGCUUUGUCUUGUUUUGCUUGGACUUGCCUUGCCUUGCCUUACCCUGCCUGGCCUGGACUCGCCUGGACUUGCCUUGUUUUGCCUUGCCUUGCCUGGCCUUGCCUUGCUUCAAUGUGACUGGUGUGGACAAGCCUGGCCUUUCCUGGACGGCCUAGCCCGGCAUUGCCUUGCCUGUCUGGCCUGGAG